GACUGGCUAGCUCAGUUGAUAGAGCAUGAGACUUUUAAUCUCAGGGUUAUGGGUUUGAGCCCCAUGUUGGGCA